GCCAGAGAUAGAUGAUAAAAUAGCUGCUUGAAUUUUAAUGAUAAGCAAUUUACUGAGUUCAUCCAUCCAUUUUCUACCGCUUAUUCCCGUUCCCGGGGUCGCAGGGGGGCUGGAGCCUAUCCCAGCAUCUUCGGGCGAAGGCACCCUGGACAAGUCGCCAGUUCAUCACAGGGCUGACAUAUAGAGACGAACAACCAUCCAUGCUCACAUUCACACCUACGGGCAAUUUGAAAGUGGCCAGUUAACCUGACCCCACUUAGGCGUGUUUUUGGGAUGUGGGAGGAAACCGGAGUACCCAGAGUAAACCCACACAGACACAGGAAGAACAUGCAAACUCCACACAGAAAUGCCCUGACUCGGAUUCAAACUCAGAACCUUCUUGCUGUGAGGCGACAGUGCUAACCACUACACCACUGUGCCGCCCUUACUGAGUUUAAUUACAUCAAAAUAAUUAGAUGCAAAAAAAGAAAAUACUUACUUUUUUUUACUUAUAAACUCCACUGUGCCACCGACUUGACAUUUUCUUUUGCACACCAAUUCAUCAUGUUUGUGUUUUUCGGUUUCAGACCAGCAGUUGUCCACUGCUUUUUCACAGAGCACCCUGCGACCAAAUGAAGCUGUUAUUAAAGACAAAGUAAUUCUUCCUCAUGAUUUGGGAAGCACCGUGAAAUGGCAAAUACCGCUUAUGGAGUACUAUUCAAUUAAAGGUGAGUAUGGUUUGAUUUUAGACACUAUUUAACACUCUGAUUAAACCACACAAAUACUACACAUACUUAAUCCAUUUAAAUACAUAAAUAGAGAUCAUUACUUGGCUGAACUAUCAACAUGCUGUGAUAAACUCUCAAUUCUGACUGGUCAAAACCCACGAACAACAGCAAUUAUUCUGAAUGUCAAGAUGUGGUGCCGUGGACUACCUGAUCAAACGUAUCCAACCAAGCAGAUGGUAAUGGUUUCACCUCUUCCUGUUGACCAGGAGAUUUUAUUUCAAGAGAAAGUACCACAGUUAGCCUGUAUAGCCUCCCUUACUCUCUGUUUGUGUAGUUGGAUGCUUUGGAUUGAUUGACACCACAUAUGUUUUCCAGCAUCUGCUUUACACAUUCAAUCCAAACUAAGACAUUUCUUGAAUUUAACGAUCCAACAUGUUGUAAAGCCAAUUAUAACUGCGUCGUUUAAGAACUUAGCAGGGACUUGAUACAGACAAUCAAAAAUAGAUUUGUGAAUAGUGAGUGAAACACUAUGCUGUCAUUUAUGGCGCGUCAUCAGUCUGUUGCUAUCAUCAAGCUGUCAACGCAUUGUGAGUGGCUGCAGCUUCAAAUGAGAAUUAUUCAAAUUCCUCAAAGAGGAACCUUGAAUUCAAUCUGCUCAUUUUAUCUGAUCUGAUUUUGAACGUUAGACACUCUCAGCAUGGGUCAGUCCUGAGGAUGAAGACAUCCCUCGUGUUGCUGCAAGAAUUAAUUUCAAUCAUUCCAGACAUAGUGAGUUGUAAUAGUAUUCAUGCCCAUCAGGAGUGUCUGGAGCUGUAUUUAUGUAGUUACUGUACCUUGUAUUCCCUGUCUGGAAGCUGUUAAGUCUGUACGCUCAUACCUACUGCCAUCUGGGCUCUGCCAGGACUUUUCACCGUUUUACCUCUGAAUUAAGAGACUAUGUUGAAUCAUUUUUCCAUCCGCAGGGCUCAUGCUUAUCCUGAAGACACUAGAGGCUUUGUAUGUUCAUUUUUUCUUUUGCUACGGUCUACAUUUCUCAGCGAAAAAUAAGCCUCUGGAGAAGGUUUCAGUGUCUCACCUGGGAAUAACUCACUGUAACAAGAUUUGCUGACUUAAUGUACAAAUAACGCAGCUGCGAAAACAUUAGUACUAAAUGGUGUUGUCAGAUGGUUUAGAGUGAGCUAUAAUCUGUUGAAUGAUUUCAUUCAUAAUGCAAAAUCAGUUCACAUGGCUUAUUCAGAGAGCAGUGUGAUCAAAGGCCAACACAGAGAAGCUCUGAGUGAUUUUAAUUGCCAGAUAUACCUCUAGUUUCUUCCAGAGCGGUGAGUCAGACUGUUCGACAUUUUCCUGCUGUUCACAUUGAAGCAGAGUCUCCAUGGUAUGCUCAGCUCAUCACUGUCACUUUACAGGUUUAACCAUCUUUCACAGGCUGUAAGUAGAUCCCAUUGCACUGAGCUCAGUGAGUAUACUGGCAAAGAGAGGAGUUUUCCAUUCAAGGUGCUAAGAUAGUCCAUGGAGUCUGAUAGACAGGCCAUGGUGAAACUGCUUUACCAGAGGAUAGUGAUGGUUAUUUAUCCUCUUUGGCCAGUCAGGCUGGAGAGACCUCAAGAGAGUUGUGGUUUCUGAGAAGACUCCUUUGAGCUGUCCACAGAUGAGACCAACAGCAGACAGUCUGAUAAGUUUCAGAUAAACCUCCCAUUUUGAAAAUAGCACAUUUUUCCUCUCUCUCUUGCAACAACCAUCUUUUUUUCACCUCUAGCUAACAGACAGAUGAGACUUUUCUCAACAUUAAAAAGGGAAGUUGCAGAAACCUUCUCGUGGCAUUCUAGAAACUUUUAACAUUCUGUUCUGCGUGUACAGAACAUUUGGCAUUCAUGUAGACAUCUUAACUAAUGAACAGUCUUGUAAGUGUUAUUGAACUUAACCACUCGCAGUGGGAGCCUGGUCUGCUCUUUUUUAUGUCUCUCAGUGAUUGGUCUGUCUCACCACAAUGACUUAUUCAAUAGAGGUUAGUGCCAGUAAAGAGAGUCAAAAAUCCCCAAGAACAAACCCCAAGAAGCUGUAGGAAAGAAUUCUCUCUGUAAAACUUACAGGCAACUUGAUCACAGUUUGAUGCAAGGGAAAGUUUUGACACAUUCAUGAGAGUUCACUCAGUAAAUCUGUGGGAAUAUCCGUUUAAGAAGACAAUGAGAUUUCCAGGUUUUACUGGACUCCAGCUAAAUAAAGGAAUACUGGAGCUAACUGAGUAAAUGUUGGGCAACCGCACUGUCAAAAUUUUGGCCACCACUGUGGGGUUUGGACCACAUGUGAGAGUCUGUGUGUUAUUGGAUUAACACAACCUCGUCCAUAGUCUGAUUUUUUAAUUCUUCAGUCAGUAAAAAGGGGUUGGGAAAAUCAUGACCAAGUAUUGUUGUAAUGAAUGUAAGACCGACUAAGACAGGAUUAGAAACAAAGAUUCAAGUGCAACCAGGCUGUAUUGUGAGAUAUGAAUAAAUAAGUCAGGUUUUAAACUUCUAUCAGCAUGUGUAUUUGCUAGAUAUAUAUGUAUGGAUGUUGUUUUUUGGUAUAGUUAAAAAUCAGUGUGUCAUCUGCAAAGUGAUAGUAAAGAUGUUUCAUUUUUUCCACACUCUUUGCCAAAUGGAUUUUGUAGAUGUUGAGAAGAACAGUCUAGCAACAGUCAGAGAAAUUCAAUCCAGUUUAGCACAAAAAAAAGUAACCGUUUUGUGCAUUGCCUUUCAAACUGCAUGGCAUUACCUGUGUCCAAUUGGAUUUAAAGCACUUGCUCUUACUGGUCUUGUUUCUUCUUGUCUCGACCUUUGCUUGUGUUGUUCUUUUAUGUACAUCGCUUUAGAUAAAGUGUCUUCUAAAUAAUAUUUUAACAUUGUAGCACUGGGCCAAAAUGCCCACCCGAGUUUUCCAGUCUGUCUAGAAAUAUAGUGGAUGACCAUGUCCAAUGCAGAUCCAGUAUACUUAAGCUAAAUCCUUUCCAUUGUCUGUGUUCAAGCUGAUCUCAGCCAUAACCUUGGCAAGAACAACUCAAGUGCUAUAGUGUACUCCCAACAGGGUGAGACGAUACAUUAUCCUUUGUUUACAAUCAGGUGAUAACUGCAGCUCUCAGGAGCUGGAAAAAUAGCCUUAUAGAUAUAAAAACAAAGUCCAUGGAGUCAAAAAAAAAAAAAACUUCCAUAAAGAUUUCAGUAAAUGUUUUAAAUAAUCUGAUUCCAGAUUUCUCUAAUACUUUCAUAAGUAAUUUAUCUGGUUUUAAGGUGAUGCAAAGGCUUUACAUAACCUCAACAUGACGAGGAGUCCCUGACAGCUUGUUAUAUUCUGAAUUUAGUCAGCAAUAAAUGAGGUGAAUUCACUGCAUACCAAAGGGGAUAAAGGUUCAAGGGCUUCUGACAUAGGAGAGGCGGGGUGAGCCUGUCAACAGAAGCAAAUAAAGUAAAUGAUUUAUCUUUGUUUUUAGUAAGACUAGCAAAUAAGACACUUUAGUCUAUUCAACACAGAAUCGUCGAAAAUCAAAUGUCAUAAAUCACCUGAAUAUGUUUUUCUCACCCACAGUCAUGGCACCUCAAUCAUGAUGCUGUUUUUCUUUUACUCUCACAGGAUGGACCGAAUGGUUGUUUUUAGAGGAAAUAAAUUAACGUCAGCCCUUAUGAGCUGGGUGCAUUUGGAUCGCUCUACAUCAUUUUAAAAGCAGG
rnacentral:lncRNA from 1 species